rnacentral:lncRNA from 1 species
AAAGGCGACCGGAGGGGGGAGUGAAUGGGAGCCAAUUCAAAUUUUCUCUAAGAACCUCGACUAAAUCCCACAAACCUCUCUUCUAGCAAAAUCAAACUCAUUUCUAUGUACGAGCUAAUGGACCUAGGAAUGAUGCUAGAAACCCAAUUUGAGAAUGGCGGAAGCAAAAAAGAGUCCAAAUGAGUCUCGGAAGAAGGAUUUUGAAAAUCAACACCUCAGUUCGAAAAAUUUCGGAGGCACCUUCGGAAAAUUCUGGAUUUUUGCAAAUUUCCA